ensembl:lncRNA
AUGGCACGCACACAUGAAAACAAACAGUUUCCUUCAUUUGCACAUGUUGCUGAUGACUCACAGAGCUUAAGAGUUUUUGGAUUCCUCUCCAGGGCGCUUAUCUGGUUUGUGCGAUUUUGUCUCUUGAUAAAACGUGUCUGUUUGUUUUAUCUAUUUCUUGGGGGGCCGUUUGAACUGCAGACAAUGACAGGCUGUCUUUUCUGUCCCGACGCCAACCGGCCACAAGGUGGCACUCACCCUCAACAAGCAACUAGGAGUUCACAAGACUUUUUUCCCCCUCCACACUGCUAUGAGCAUGCUGAUGUAUCAUGGUGCAAUGAAAAGGAGGAAAUGAGAGGGGGACAUAAAUGUGUUUGGUGCAUGCAGGGACUAAUGGAGUCUACCUUUGCCAGUACAUUAGGAACAAAACAAGAGAGGUGAGAAGAACAUGUAAUGCUAUAUGUAGGACACUGACCUAAACUGCUUGACCUCUGGCAAGGGCAGUCAAAGGUCAACUCACUUGACAUCUCUGCCCACAUCUUACUGAUGAACACACUCAGACCCAUCGGACGAGCACUUCGGCGCACAUCUGUGCGUGUGAGACAAACAAUGUCAAGUGCGGGCGUAAAAUGACACAUGGAAGUAAUCAGUUCAUCUCUGCUCUGGGCAAGAGGCAUUUUUAAUUUCACUGGAGGAUAAAAACCCAGCGGCAGAGGUCCAUCCAUUUUGUACGGUACCUUAAUUUCACACAGCCCACAGAAAAAUUGGCAGUCGAUUUGUUUUUUGAAGAUCCCUUCAUUGAUAGUAAUUAAAUUUGCUCUUGUCUCUCGUUUUUUUCUCUUUUCUCCAUAUCUCCUCCUCUCUUCCCCAUCUGUAUGCCUCUACUCCCUCUUCUCAUUCUCAUUCGCCAUCAUCCCUCACUGUCAUGCGGCCGCUCCGAGCCAUCGACCUCUGCUCUCAGCCCCGGUUCAGCAGCGGGUCACCGGAGGGAGGGGGGCUCGUGUUAUUGGGGGGUGCCAGCUUCCUUCCCUCACCGCGGAUACAGCUGCUGCUGCCAUGGCAACUGGAUUGCAGACUGUGCAAGGACCCGCGUGCAGAUACUUGCAGAGACUUACGGAGAAAGACGCUCUAAUGGUGUGUUAGAGGGCCCCGUUGUGCUUUAAAGCAGGUUUAACCGCAUAAGUGAAAAUGAUGCGGGACAUCCUCAGACUAGGACUUUUAUGUUUUAUUUGCUGCUCAGUACAGUCUAUUCCAAUAGGGUUUAGGAUUGUAAACUUCCCUUUCCUUUAUGGGAUAGGAAUAGAGUUUGGUUGGUAAUUUUUUGAUGGGAAAUCUAGGAUGUUGAUCAGGAAAAUGUCCUUUUAUGUCCUGGUUUAGGAGUUUAGGGAUGGCAUAUACCAGCUGAUAAUUUUUUUUUGUGUUGUAGUGAUAAUAACUGACAAAUUGCCCAUAUUAAAAUCUAAAAUACUAGAGUAAAAAAAAAGUACAAUUAUUAAAAUAAUCUUUUAAAUAUUAUCAGCUCAGUAUUAUUUUAAUG